GGUGGUAGCUCAGUGGUAGAGCACUUGCCUCGCACACGUGAGGCCCUGGGUUCGAUCCUCAGCACCACCU
rnacentral:tRNA from 1 species